rnacentral:rRNA from 1 species
UACCAGCACCCCGAGUGGUCGGGACGAUUAUUGGGCCUAAAGCAUCCGUAGCCGGUCCUGCAAGUCUUCCGUUAAAUCCAGCUGCUCAACAGAUGGGCUGCGGGAGAUACUACAGGGCUAGGAGGCGGGAGAGGCAAGCGGUACUUUAUGGGUAGGGGUAAGAUCCGCUGAUCCAUAGAAGACCACCAGUGGCGAAGGCGGCUUGCCAGAACGCGCUCGACGGUGAGGGAUGAAAGCUGGGGGAGCAAACCGG